rfam:Dipodomys ordii contig_36149, whole genome shotgun sequence.
GGAGAUAUGGCUCCAGUGGUAGAGCACCUGCUUGUUCAGCAUGAUACCCUGAGUUCAAAUCCCAGCAUUACCA